GACGAACGCUGGCGGCAAGCUUAACACAUGCAAGUCGAACGCCGUAGCAAUACGGAGUGGCAGACGGGUGAGUAACGCGUGGGAACGUGCCUUUCGGUUCGGAACAACCGAGGGAAACUUCAGCUAAAACCGGAUACGCCCUUCGGGGGAAAGUUUACGCCGAAAGAUCGGCCCGCGUCAGAUUAGCUAGUUGGUGGGGUAAUGGCCUACCAAGGCGACGAUCUGUAGCUGUUCUGAGAGGAAGAUCAGCCACACUGGGACUGAGACACGGCCCAGACUCCUACGGGAGGCAGCAGUGGGGAAUAUUGGACAAUGGGCGCAAGCCUGAUCCAGCUAUGCCGCGUGGAUGAAGAAGGCCUUCGGGUUGUAAAGUCCUUUCGGUGGUGAAGAUAAUGACGGUAACCACAGAAGAAGCCCCGGCUAAUUUCGUGCCAGCCGCCGCCGUAA
rnacentral:rRNA from 1 species